GACCGCAUAGCUCAGUUGGCAGAGCAUUGGGCUAGUAUUUCAAAGGUCAUCCAUAGGUUUGAUUCCUAUCGUGGCCA